rnacentral:lncRNA from 1 species
CCAACACUUAGUUUGUCUUACAGGAAAGCUUGACAGAGACUUGUGGGAGCUUGAUCAAGCUCCUUGCUUUUAGAUAAGCAAGGAUUUUGAUUUGGAGUGCAGUGGCGAGAUCUCGGCUCACUGCAACCUCCGCUUCCUGUGUUCAAACGGUUCUCCUUCCACAGCCUCCCGAGUGGCUGGAAUUACAGGCGUGCGCUGCCACACCCAGCUAAUUUUUGUAUUUUUAAUAGAGAUGGGGUUUCACCGUGUUGGCCAGGCUGGUCUCGAACUCCUGACCUCAACUGACCUGCCUGUCUCGGUCUCCCAAAGUACCGGGAUUACAGGCGCAAGCCACUGUACCCGGCCUGCAGCCACACUUUUAAACCGUGUCUCCCUCUGUUCUCUGACAGACAUUAGCCAGACUGAGUCAUCCCCUUGAACUUGUCCUAAGCUUGUAUUUG